GAUACUGAUAUGCUGAGCUCUGAAUUGUGAAUUUCUUUUGUAUCUUGGCGUUGAAAUAGUUUUUUGUUUUUGUACGAUAUCGAUGUGAGCGCUAUCGCUGAGUUCGCUUUUCACUUGACUGACUGUUCGUUUCGUUCUUCCCCGACGUUUUGAAGAACUGUGCCCUAUUCGUUUCUUCCGUCGUCUACUCGACGUAUCGCUCGCGCUACGACGGUAUAUUGCCUCCGAAUUCCGUUCCUUACAUACAACUUACUUUUAAUUCUGGCAAUACCAUCCACCCUCACACGGGGGAUGUAUUACAUUUGCAAUGUGUAGACUUGUUGUUGAAGGAUUUGGGUUGCGAAUGCUUGUUGUUGUUGCUCUUGAACUUCGGCGUCCAGUUAGCCUUUGUACUCGUCGCGCUUGUUUUUAACGAUGACGGGUACCAUCUCAUCUCGACUCAUCUCUUCUUCUACGUCAGUGCUGCUCCAGUAGAGUAAUAGUUUGUAUAUAUUUGUUUAUAGCUUGCAAUGGCUAUAGUAUUUAGUCCCUUUCUUAUUUUAACUUUUCGUAACGUUACCUUAGCAUUUCAGUCUCAACGGUUAUGUUGUUAUCGAACUCUGCGGUUAUGGAAACGCACUUGUACAGCUUUAUUUUGUCUAUUAUCCUAGUGAGGUGGCCUUUUAGGCCCGGGCGUGUUGCUAUAGCCGAUCGUGGCAUCUUGCUUGUUGUUAACUGGAACUAGCUAGAUCAAUUUAUGAAAAGAGGGAUUGGCUUUCCUUGCUCCUAUCGACGAAUUUUCUUCGGUGGAUAUCGGGUUUUCUCCGACUUUUCAGUUAUCUAGUGUUAAGUGGUUCAUAGCAGGGUCCACCUGAUUUUCCAUGGAAAAGUGGAGAAAAAAUUUUGUGAAAUUUUUACAUUCAGUGUUACCACCAGUUGUUGGUAAGUGGAAGGGAAGCAACGCUGAUGCUGUGCUCCAGAGAAUAGGCGUAUCAACACAAACUUCAACUGUUCACGGACUAUGUUCCGAUCUCGCUGUCGUCUAAAUCGGACCUUCUAGCGGGAAAAAUCGGAUCUAUGUCCAAUUUUUCCACAAGAUGCCAUUUUAUAUUCUUUCACUAGACGGCUCUAGUGAUCGGACGUACAUCCGUUCUCCAAAAAUUUCGAAUUCAAAAUCAAUGGGCAUUAUUGAACGGGCAUUGAUCCGUUCACGGAGACGCCAUUUCGUCAACAACCGGUCCGUGGCGGGCGUUCCAAUUUUGUGUGAUU